rfam:Pongo abelii chromosome 6.
AAAAAAAAGUAAAAGGAACUCGGCAAAUCUUACCCCGCCUGUUUACCAAAAACAUCACCUCUAGGAUUACCAGUAUUAGAGGCACCGCCUGCCCAGUGACAUAUGUUUAACGGCCGUGGUACCCUAACCGUGCAAAGGUAGCAUAAUCACUUGUUCCUUAAAUUGGGACUUGUAUGAAUGGCUCCACAAGGGUUCAGCUGUCUCUUACUUUCA